CAGCCGCCGCGGUAAUACAGAGGGUGCGAGCGUUAAUCAGAUUUACUGGGCGUAAAGCGUGCGUAGGCGGCUUUUUAAGUCGGAUGUGAAAUCCCUGAGCUUAACUUAGGAAUUGCAUUCGAUACUGGGAAGCUAGAGUAUGGGAGAGGAUGGUAGAAUUCCAGGUGUAGCGGUGAAAUGCGUAGAGAUCUGGAGGAAUACCGAUGGCGAAGGCAGCCAUCUGGCCUAAUACUGACGCUGAGGUACGAAAGCAUGGGGAGCAAACAGGAUUAGAGACCCGUGUAGUCCCUGUCUCUUAUAC
rnacentral:rRNA from 1 species